CCAGCUCCUCACCGAAACAUCUUUCGCUCUCGGUGCCCGGUUUGUGACCCGCACACCCUUGUGAACCAUAUUUCCCAGAGAGGCUCCGCCUGUUCCUGCUCCCGGAAUCUCUCUUCCAUCAUGCUUGGUCCACGUUCCGUUCAGGUUCACCGGAAUUCCACGGCUGGGACCUGAAAUGGGAAGCGACUUGGCCGCGAAGGAUCUUGGGAGCGGUGGUUCUAGCGCAGGCGCUGGACGCUUGGGACACAGGACAGAGUGAAAAGGACACUGAAGAUGCAGAAGGCGGAGGCGAGCCAGAAGGCGCCGUAAGGCCUGAGAACCUCCUGGAAAGAGAGGAAGGGCCUCAUGUAGACACAACAGGAAGGCCAUGAACCAGUUAGUGAGGACGCACACACCUGUGGCCAGGCCCUUGACGCGCAGAGGAAAGAUCUCAGACAUGAGGAGCCAGGGGAUGGGCCCCCAGCCCACGGCGAAGCCUGUGGG